CAGGGGUUGUUGUGUCGCUGCCGAUGAACACGCGUAGGGAGCCGACGUGUGGAAGCAGGGAAGGUCAUGGGCUAGCUCCUCGUCGUCGGCGAGGCCUACACCGGCUGAAUCGACGAAGGCCUGUGCACGUGCUGUGUUCAAGAGGACAGAGGAAGGGGACGACACAUUGGGCCCCUCUAUAAGUGAGAUAGAGUGUGAGAGGUAUUUUGGUCUAUACAAAAAUAUAAAAUUCUCGGUACACCUGCACAUGGGCCCAAAGAUGCCAUAUAUGUAUAUAAUGGCAUAUUUUCAGCUUUGACAAAAAUUAUAAUGGCAGUACCAUAGUUCCGAUAAAGUUAUAAUGACACAGUUCUAAUUAACCCUUAUUAGAAAGGUUUAGCUCUCUAGUGAUAGUGCAACACUACGGCCUUUUAUAGCAAAAACAGUGCAUAAGAAUCUUCUAUAAUAUGU
rnacentral:lncRNA from 1 species